rnacentral:rRNA from 1 species
GUCUUGUAAUUGGAAUGAUGCCGACUUAAACCCUCGGCAGAGUACCAAUUGGAGGGCAGUCUGGUGCCAGCAGCCGCGGUAAUUCCAGCUCCAAUAGCGUAUAUUAAACUUGUUGCAGUUAAAAAGCUCGUAGUUGAAUUUGAGCUUGCGCGAUUCCGUUAUUGGAGUAUUGCGCUUGCUUUUUUGUUACUUUGAGAAAAUUAGAGUGUUUCAAGCAGACUUUUGUCUUGAAUACUUCAGCAUGGAAUAAUAGAGUAGGACCUUGGUUCUAUUUUGUUGGUUUUUGAGCCUUGGUAAUGGUUAAUAGGAACGGUUGGGGGCAUUCGUAUUUAACUGUCAGAGGUGAAAUUCUUAGAUUUGUUAAAGACGAACUAGUGCGAAAGCAUUUGCCAAGGACGUUUUCAUUAAUCAAGAACGAAAGUUAGGGGAUCGAAGACGAUCAGAUACCGUCGUAGUCCUAACCAUAAACUA